GCUGCCGCAAAUUCGGCAGCCGGGAUUGGCGUCCCGUGGAUUAGGCGGACACACCGCCUUAAGAGCGGUUUUUUU
rnacentral:sRNA from 17 species